AGUGAACGCUGGCGGUAGGCCUAACACAUGCAAGUCGAACGGCAGCACAGUAAGAGCUUGCUCUUACGGGUGGCGAGUGGCGGACGGGUGAGGAAUACAUCGGAAUCUACUUUUUCGUGGGGGAUAACGUAGGGAAACUUACGCUAAUACCGCAUACGACCUACGGGUGAAAGCAGGGGAUCUUCGGACCUUGCGCGAUUGAAUGAGCCGAUGUCGGAUUAGCUAGUUGGCGGGGUAAAGGCCCACCAAGGCGACGAUCCGUAGCUGGUCUGAGAGGAUGAUCAGCCACACUGGAACUGAGGCACGGUCCAGGCUCCUUCGGGAGGCAGCAGUGGGGAAUAUUGGACAAUGGGCGCAAGCCUGGUCCAGCCAUACCGCGUGGGUGGAGAAGGCCUUCGGGUUGUAAAGCCCUUUUGUUGGGAAAGAAAAGCAGCAGGUUAAUACCCCGCUGUUCUGACGGUACCCAAAGAAUAAGCACCGGCUAACUUCGUG
rnacentral:rRNA from 1 species